rnacentral:rRNA from 1 species
AUUGAACGCUGGCGGCAGGCUUAACACAUGCAACGCGAGCGGAGAUGAAGUGCUUGCACCUUAUCUUAGCGGCGGACGGGUGAGUAAUGCUUAGGAAUCUGCCUAUUAGUGGGGGACAACAUUCCGAAAGGAAUGUCUAUACCGCAUACGCCCUAAGGGGGAAAGCAGGGGAUCUUCGGACCUUGAGCUCAUAGAUGAGCCUAAGUCGGAUUAGCUAGUUGGUGGGGUAAAGGCCUACCAAGUCGACGAUCUGUAGCGGGUCUGAGAGGAUGAUCCGCCACACUGGGACUGAGACACGGCCCAGACUCCUACGGGAGGCAGCAGUGGGGAAUAUUGGACAAUGGGCGGAAGCCUGAUCCAGCCAUGCCGCGUGUGUGAAGAAGGCCUUUUGGUUGUAAAGCACUUUAAGCGAGGAGGAGGCUACCUGGAUUAAUACUCUAGGAUAGUGGACGUUACUCGCAGAAUAAGCACCGGCUAACUCUGUGCCAGCAGCCGCAGUAAUAC